CGUCUCACGCUUCCAUAAAUAUCUGCACGACAAAAUAUCAUCAUAAAAAGAGAAAUCUAAAACUACAAAAUUCUAAUAUAUUGUAUUAAUUAACGGUAACUACGAUAGAGACCUAAUUCCCCACCACCGUUCUCGUAUUUUUCCACGCGUGUAUGUAACUUUAUAACCCUACACGCAUGAAGCUCUAGUGCUUCGUUAAACAAAAACAAAUAUGGUUUAUUGGUUUUUUAUCUAUGCCCUCUCGUGACUUAUUUUUUUC